rnacentral:misc_RNA from 1 species
UGCGUUACACCCGGCCGG